AUCUAUUAUAAAACCUGGUGGACCUUGAGUUAGGAUUACAUUAAACACAUGUAAUUUUCCAGAAAUGAACAAUUAAAACAAGAUAAAUUUAAAUUUUCUUAUAUUCCUGAGGAUCAGAUUAACGUCUGGCUGAGUCAGGAGUGCUGCACCCAUCUCUCAUGAGAAAACUCCAAGGCCUGUUAGGGCUGGAAUAAUCCGCCCCCUCGGGUGUGUAGAGAUCUGACCUUAGACAGGUAAACUGUUCCUCUCAAAAACCUCUAAAGUCCUGACUCAGCCCCUAAAACAUACAAUCCAAAAACUAGCAUGUGGCCAAUAACGAUGCGCCGGAUAUCCCGACUCCACCCUGGCUCCACCCCUGCCUCACCCUAUCCAAUAGCGAUCCAGUAGCACCACUCAGGCUCCACCCCCACCUUACCCUAUAUAAGCCUGUGCAUUUCCUGAAUAAAGCGGAAGUGUUCCAGAAACCUCCCUGGAGCUGCGUGGUGAUUCCGAGCCUUAACCUCCCAGUCUGGGCCCCGAACCUUGUUCCUAUCGCUAAGAUCUGUCUACGCUUUUGGCGUGACCCCGAACUGCAUUUGUCUUGAGAUGUCGGAAUUCUACAUGCACAGCUUUUCCCAUAGCCAUUCUUGGCUCAUUCAAUCAUUCAUCAUGUAUCUUCUCAUUCAUGCAAGAAUUGUUGAAUGGGUGACUACUAUACACCAGACUUCAAGAUGUGAUAUAAAAUGUCUAUAAUAAAUAGAGCCAUUGCCUCUAGAAAAUAUGCAGUAAGUCAAAAGAGGUAUUAAAACUAGCAAGUCAUAUAAAGCUUUGAUAUUCAAAUGUAGUUUAUUUGUGAGCUUAUCAAAAAUGCAGAAAGUAGGACCUACAUGCAGCCUGCCAAAUCACG
rnacentral:lncRNA from 1 species